ACUGUUCAGACAGUGUACUCUUCCGAUCUGAUCAUGACUCUGAAUAAAUGUGUCUUUUUUAAAAUGUGCUGUGUAAAGUUAGUCUACUCUGAAGCCAUCUUGGUAAACUACCCCAACAGUGUGAAGUUAGAAUUCCAUCAGGGUGAUGCCAGGUUCCAUUUGAAAUUUAUUUGCAACCUGCUUGGGCACAGAAGCCAUUGUCUCCACAAAUGUUGGUGUGGUUGAACUGACAGUUAAUGUGUUGUGACCUGGAGUUCACCGUUAAAAGGGUCACCCAAGCAAAGUCCUGGAGUUUAUUUGGUUAUUAAUAUGAUUGUUGGCACAUCCUAUGCAAUAUAUCUAAAUUGAAUUAUGGUAUCAGAUAAAAUUAUAGAUGGGAUUAAAGCUUGUGUAUUGUCCAUUAUCAUGUGUAAUCAAUAAAUGAUUUAAUAUUCUCUUGAAAAAAAAAGAA